GGGGAUGUAGCUAAGGGGUAGAGUGCUUGCCUGGCAUGCAUGAGCCCUAGAUUCCAUCCCCA
rnacentral:tRNA from 1 species